GCCAAUUUAAUACAUGACUUCUGCAAAAUUAAAACCCAACUUCUCCCAAAUCAGAGUUGCUCCCAUAUCUCUAAACUCAAGAAUCCUAGUUUCAUCUCAAGAACCAUCUUCUCCAAGAUCUCUCAAACCCUAACAUCUUCAAUCCAUUUGUCCCAAAUCUCACACAAAGUCUCUAUGUUCCGAAAAUGCAAUUCUCCUUGGUAAAUAGCGGUAUCCCGAAUUAGGUAAGAUGUACUCGGUCUUUUUUAUUUUUUUCUUUUUUUUUGGGGAAUGAAGGUGAAUCCCAAUAAUUUGAAAUUUGUGUUUGUAAUUUGAAUGUCUAUUGCCAUCCCCUUAUAAAACUUCUCUGUUAUUUGAUAUUAAAGUAGGUUUUCUAGUUAUUGCUUUAUUCAAAAUUGAGUGAAUUUGUCUAUUCUUGUUAAGGACUUGUUAUGACUGCCAAGACAUGAUCCUUCUCUAUGACUAUGCUAGAACUCAGUCUAUUUGAUGGUGCAGAUUAUAUCCUUCUGUAUUAUUUUAUUGUCACUUAAUUGAUUAGGAUGAGAACACUUCUUAUUUUGUUGCUGCAGAAAGUUAGCUAACUGUAACUUGAUACUUUUGAUCCAUUAAUGGCUUCGAGCCUUUGAGUUAUGAUUAAAUUAUGUCAAUUUUCUUAUAGGCAAUUUGUAUUUUUUUUGUAUAUGUUUUUCAUGAGAGGUUUUGUAUUCUCAGUUGCCUUAAAUUUGCUGGAACCAUAAGAUAGAGUUGAGUUUCUAUAGUGCAACAGCAUCAAAGUCUCUUAGACAGAUGGGCUUUUUUAAGUACGCUAGAAAAAUAAUUUGUCCUUGAAAUCAAUAUAAAUCAUUGAAAUAGAUCAGCAAAUAUAUCCUGACAGUCAAGCACUUAAGAAUGCUAGGAUUAUCCUGGCAGCCAAGCACUUAUGAAUAUUAAGCUUAUUCCACAAAAAAACAUAAUGGAUUACAAAAAGCAAUCGAAAUAUAAUACCAAAUCAAGAUACUAAUAUGUUUUUAAUAUACAUUCCAAAAUCAAUACACUGGACGAAAUCAUAAUUCAACUGCACUUCAAUAAAAAGCCAAUGAUCUGUCUACUUAAGUACAUAGCUGUUUCGAAAUCUUGUUGGGUAUAUGGUUGCUUCUUGCAACAAUGGAAUACAAAAAUCAUCAAAAGGAAUCUAUAAAUUUUAUACAAGAAAUUAUCAGUAAAAUAGAUCACUUAUCCAAUCUCAUAAUGACGGAAAAUGGAGUUGUUAUCAUGCACUAUUAGGCCUAGGUUCAGUCAUCUUCUGAUUUCUAUAUUUGCACAUAAUUUUCAUAACUUCCCCAAAAUUAUUAACAUACAAAAGCUGGAAAAUGGAGAAGGCAAAAUGACUACAAUUUCAUUACAGAUUUCAUUAAAAAACAAAAAAUAUUGAAUUCAAAUAUGUGUUCCUAUUAAUGUACAUUGCUUCGAGCGUAGUCGUUUUCGUGCCCUUGAUGCUCUAAUAUUGGCAGAUUCCAUAUAAUGAGCAUGUCAUUGUCAACCACCCAUUCUCCAAAUAUAAUUUUUCUCCUAAGAAUGCACUAUUACCUCUUCUUCUGCUCCUUUUCUCAUAUCCUUCUGUCUCUUGCCUUUUCGCAGUACAGUCCACGAUAGUGGUAUGACAUCAAGCAUAUGCCAAAAUCUCAUACCAUUAAUUGGUUUCAUAAUACUAUUGUAGCAACUCAUAUAUGUCUCAAUCAUGUAUAAGUUAUCAAUGAAUUCUUCUGUAUCAUUUCUACAUUCCAUAAUAACAACCAUUGCAUGCAUGCAAGGUAUGCCUAUAAGCUCACAUUUUCUACAUGCAAAAGUUCUUUCAUGUAGGUCAACAACUUAUGUCCUAAAGCUGCAUUCAAUUUGCCAAUUCGGACCACCAGAAAAGUGCAAUAUGCAUUCACAUGAUUUCUCAAUAAUCUCGUGUAACUUUUCCCUAUCUUUGGACAUGGAUGUUCUGUAAACAUAAUUCAAUAUUAUCAAAUUAACAAUGCAUAAAAUAGUCUCUCUUUUUUUCCGAAAAGUAAAAGCAUAUUUAAAAUUGAAUUUAUAAAACAAAGAAAAAUACUAAAAGCAUAUAAAGUAAGCUAAUCUAUAUCUUCUAUCACCAGACCCAAUCAAAUGGUCAAUAUUGCCAUUUGGAUAAGCAAAGAAAUCGAAAACAUCCAAAUGAAUCACAUCAAUUGGACUAUCAUAAUCAACAAAAUUUGUCUCCAAUUUGUCCAUCCUCUUUAUUGAUUUUUGAUAGAGAUCUACAAGAUCUUUUGCAGUACAACAGAUACGUGCCCUAUGCCCUUUCAUUCUACAUUUAAAGUAACAUUAUUUGUGUUCUUUUUUGGAUAUGUUACUUUCAUUGUUUUGUGCCUUUUGAAAUUAUUUACUUGUUAAUGAUAGUUUUGUUGAUUGUUUCAUCCGUAGUUUAUUCCACAUACAUAUUCACGUCCUCGUCCACGUCCAAAUCUACGUUUACGUCCAUCUCUAUAUCCAUGUUCACGUCCAUGUCUAUAUCCUUGUUCUUAUAUCAUAUUUACUUCAGACAAUGCAGUAUCUUUUGCUUCAGGUAAUAGUAUAGAUAUGGUUGGAUUAACAUUUGAUUUUUCAUCUAUAGUUCAUUAUAUUGUUCAACUACAAGAAGUAUGAAAAAUAUGAGUUCUAAGUACUUUUUGAAAUCACGCUCAUGAUAUUGCUGCAGGAGUACAUUCGAGAUAUAAAAAGUGAAAAAAUAUUAGUCAACAUAUCUUCAUCUGUGAUUUAUUUCCAUACAAAGUUAAUUUUGAAUAUAUUCUAAAUUGUUCAAAAUUGUACUCACUAACGGUUUUAAAAUCUUGCAACAGAAUGUCCAUCCACUCUUAGCGGGAUUUGGAAAAAACUAGUCUUCUGAUGAUUAAAUCUUUCAAUCAAUUUUUUUCAAAGAAUCUGUGGAUCUUUCUUAGGGAGAUUCAAUUUUUAAUCCAUUAUGAAGAUUAUGACGAAAGAAGAUAAGUACUCCAAGAUGCUUUGAGAUAAGAUGAAUAUUUAUAUUGAGGCAUGACAGAUAAUUUUUGUCAGAUAUGUCAAGUUUCAAGUGCAGCAGACUCAAAUUUUGUGAUAUUUGCUAUUUGAUUAACUAUACAAUAAAGAAAAUACAAUUAAUUUUGAAUAAUAUAAUUAAACAUUGUAUAAUCAUAUAAUAAUUAAUUAAGUAGUCAUUGUCAGCGUGACAUGAGUUAUAUGUUUUUU
rnacentral:lncRNA from 1 species